UUGGAGGGCAAGUCUGGUGCCAGCAGCCGCGGUAAUUCCAGCUCCAAUAGCGUAUAUUAAAGUUGUUGCAGUUAAAAAGCUCGUAGUUGAAUUUCGGGAUCAAUUUAUUGAUCGUGCCAACGGUACGCACUGGUACAAUUGGUUUCCCCCUUCUGACGAAGCAUGAUGUCAUUAAUUUGAUGUCGUGGGGAAUCAGGACUGUUACUUUGAAAAAAUUAGAGUGUUUAAAGCAGGCUUUGGCUUGAAUACAUUAGCAUGGAAUAAUGAAAUAGGACGUUUGAUCUUAUUUCGUUGGUUUCUAAGAUCGACGUAAUGAUUAAUAGGGAUAGUUGGGGGCAUUAGUAUUCAAUUGUCAGAGGUGAAAUUCUUGGAUUUAUUGAAGACUAACUACUGCGAAAGCAUUUGCCAAGGAUGUUUUCAUUAAUCAAGAACGAAAGUUAGGGGAUCGAAGACGAUCAGAUACCGUCGUAGUCUUAACCAUAAACUAUGCCGACUAGGGAUCGGAUGAUGUUAAUUUUUUAAUGACUCAUUCGGCGCCUUACGGGAAA
rnacentral:rRNA from 1 species